rfam:Oryza meridionalis cultivar OR44 (W2112) chromosome 11, whole genome shotgun sequence.
UUUAAGUGCAACCAUGAGUUUCUUUGUCCAUCUUUGAUCGUCCAUCUUAUAUGAAAUUUUUUUAUUAUUAGUAUUUUUAUUGCUAUGAGAUGAUAAAACAUGAAUAGUAUUUUAUGCGUGACUUAUGUUUUUAAAUUUUUUCAAAUAAGACGGACGAUUAAAGUUGGGCAAGAAAAAUCAUGGUUGCACUUAAA